AGAAAAGAGAAAAAGAUGGAUGAAGCUCCCAGAAGAUUUGAAUUGAAUAGGGUCAUUUUGGGAGAAAAGGACUCGAAUGU
ensembl:ncRNA M01G4.5 ncRNA